AAGUAUUAUUUAUUCUUGCUUUCUCCCCCGUGCUCUCCGCCCCUCCCCCGAUCCCCUCCUUCCCUACCGUCGCGCCGCCGGCUCCACGCAGCGGCCGACGCGGCCUUCUCUCCCCGGCGCUCGAGAUGCAACAGCGGGUGCGGCAGUUCUCGGUCCAGCCGGGUCGGGCGCAGGUCGCCGGCAUCACUCGCUGCGUGCCGUGAUUCUGGAUCGGGCGCAGAUCUUUGCGCUCCCACCUCUCCUCCUCCUCCUCUCUCUCUCUCCCGUGCCGCCAUCGUUGCAAGGAGCAGGGGAGAUAGGUGCCGAGGACAAGAAGCAACGGGUUGGUUGCGGUGGGCUUGAGCUGCUGGGGAGAUGGAGGAGGCCGUCGUGGUUCGUCAUGGAGGCGGCUCCCCCGGCAAGCUGGUUGAGCACGGAGGAAUGAGGAAUAGAUAAAUGAGGCAUGGCGUAAGCGUAGGGGUCAGCCAGGGCACGACGCAAGAGUCUGCCCAUCUCCUCUCAAAGUUUGUCUGACAGAGGAAGUCAAUUGAGGAGUAUGUUGACACCAGAGUCCAAGACCAUGGGUGAAGCAUUUUAAUAUCAAUCUGUUGUUUUGGCUGAGCAGAUCAAACUGUACGCUUGGACCGUGACUAAUGGUGUGCCAAUGUGGUGGUGACUGCCACACACUCACACAGAUUCUUGGUACUCUCUGUAACCUGCAGAUGAUGGGUGGCGAAUCCGGCAACCACAGAUCCAUUCCCCUGCAUAAUUUUUGUUUGUUCAUUUGAUUUGGUACAAGGCCUACUCAGAAUGGGUUCCCUGAUCUCAAAAUUGUCAGUUUUCUUGCCUUUAGUUUAUAGGUACCUUAACAAAUACAUGUAUUUACCAUAUUGGCAGUCAUCACCAUACGGCAUUCAUUCUUCAGGAUCUCAUAUUUGAGGUUAGCAGUUCGAAUUAAUGUGAGAGCUUGCAUGUUUAUAGUUCUAACUAGCUUUUAGUUUAGCGUAGGAUAAGUCUUCCAUGAAUUCUUAGUUAGCUAUUUAUUGUUGCUGGCUGUGCAUGAAACUGCAAUUUUUUCAUAAUUUUCUUCAAAGGUUAACUAUUUUCUUAUCUACAAUUAACUGGUUGUUGCUCCUAGCCGUUAGCAAGUCUGUCGUCCCUGACCACCCUCUCAGUCAUCUAUACAACUGUGGUUCAUGCCUGCGUGCUAUCCGCUCCUAAAUUCUCACACCAUGUCAGGCUGGUCCAACCGGAGUUGGUUGAUGGCAGGGGCUGCGCUCCGGCAACCGUAUGGCUGAAGAAGGGAUGCAAAUGGAAAGAAUUUUGAGAUGCAUAAACUCCCGUCUUUGAAUCAGAAACAGAAGAUUGUUAGUUUUCUUGUUUCUUAGUUAUGCUACCCUGCUUCACGUAGGUUUUACAGUGAAAAGCUGAAGAAGUUGUGACGGCGAUGAAAGGACUGAAAGAUUUGCUCGAAGCAAAGACAUCUAGCCGAGAUACAUAUGCAACGAAGAGGAGGGAUCUUAUGUAGAAUAUGCAACAUCCAUGGUGCUGAAGGAAAAUGUUUCCUGUUUUUGGUCUAACCCAUCGUAAGCUUGUCUCGUGGAUCCAUCUAUAUGAGAACCUUCUCAGUGGGUGUCAAAUGGAUUCGUCGCACGUCAAACAGAGCACCCGAGGAGAAGAGGAGGAUGCUCUCAAGAGAGGAAAUGAUAUGUUUUUUUUUGUUUUAAGAGCAAGAUAGAAGUUGAUAUGUAGUCCCCUGACUUCUAUAUAUACUGAUCCACAACACUUCACAAAAGAGUAUAUAUCAACAUCGUAUGCUACAAAAAAAGCAAAGUAAUCUCUUUUAGUUCUUGGUUCAAA